UACAGAGGUCCCAAGCGUUGUUCGGAUUCACUGGGCGUAAAGGGUGCGUAGGCGGUUGGGUAAGUCUGUCGUGAAAUCUCCGAGCCUAACUCGGAGACUGCGUCGGAUACUAUUCAACUCGAGGAAUGGAGGGGAGACUGGAAUUCUCGGUGUAGCAGUGAAAUGCGUAGAUAUCGAGAGGAACACCAGUGGCGAAGGCGAGUCUCUGGACAUUUCCUGACGCUGAGGCACGAAAGCCAGGGGAGCAAACGGG
rnacentral:rRNA from 1 species